rnacentral:rRNA from 1 species
AUACGUAGGGUGCGAGCGUUAAUCGGAAUUACUGGGCGUAAAGCGUGCGCAGGCGGUCUUGCAAGACAGUGGUGAAAUCCCCGGGCUCAACCUGGGAACGGCCAUUGUGACUGCAAGGCUGGAGUACGGCAGAGGGGGAGGGAAUUCCGCGUGUAGCAGUGAAAUGCGUAGAUAUGCGGAGGAACACCGAUGGCGAAGGCAGUCCCCUAGGCCUGUACUGACGCUCAUGCACGAAAGCGUGGGGAGCAAACAGGAUUAUAUACCCUGGUAGUCCACGCCCUAAACGAUGUCAACUGGUUGUUGGGGAUUUACUUCCUCAGUAACGAAGCUAACGCGUGAAGUUGACCGCCUGGGGAGUACGGCCGCAAGGUUAAA